AUAUCAGUCAUGCAUAGCAUAUCAAUAAGCGGAGGAAAAGAAACUAACAAGGAUUCCCCUAGUAACGGCGAGUGAAGCGGGAAGAGCUCAAAUUUGAAAUCUUAAAGGGUUUCCCUUUACGAAUUGUAGUUUAAAGAAGUGUUUUCUGUUGAGGUUUUGGUAAAAGUUCUUUGGAAUAGGGACAUCAUAGAGGGUGAGAAUCCCGUAUUUGACCUUUACUUUCAACUUUGUGAUACACUUUCAAAGAGUCGGAUUGUUUGGGAAUGCAGUCCAAAAUGGGUGGUAAAUUUCAUCUAAAGCUAAAUAUUGGCGAGAGACCGAUAGCGAACAAGUACCGUGAGGGAAAGAUGAAAAGAACUUUGAAAAGAGAGUUAAACAGUACGUGAAAUUGUCAAAAGGGAAGCGUUUGACACCAGUGUUGUUUUUCUGAAAAUCAAUUAAAGAACUGUUUAUGCUAAGUUGUUUAGACUUUAUCAGCUAAUCUGCUUAGUUUUUGAGCUUUUCUUUAACUGCACUUUUCAGUUAACAAGUCAACAUCAAUUUCUUUUGCUGUAAAAAAGCUUGAGGAAGGUGGCUUGAGAUUCGUCUUAAGUGUUUAUAGCCUCUUGCCUAUGCAGUCGGAGAGAUUGAGGUCUGCAGCGUAGAUCCUUCGGGGCUAAAUGCAUUUGUGCUAAGUUAUAGCAUUUUAUAGACAACUUGUUGACUAUGAUUUGUCUUGUAGCUUACUCGCUUAUGUUAUUUUACCUACGCUUAGGAUGUUGACGCGCGUGUGUGCGUG
rnacentral:rRNA from 1 species